rnacentral:rRNA from 1 species
UACGUAGGGGGCGAGCGUUGUCUGGAGUUACUGGGCGUAAAGCGCACGCAGGCGGUUUCGUACGUCUGGAGUGACAGUUCCCGGCUCAACUGGGAAAGGUCUUCGGAAACGGCGAGACUUGAGGGCUUCAGAGGGACACGGAAUUCCGGGUGGAGUGGUGAAAUGCGUAGAGAUCCGGAGGAACACCAAUGGCGAAGGCAGUGUCCUGGGAAGCAUCUGACGCUCAGGUGCGAAAGCUAGGGGAGCGAACAGG